ACUGCCAGAUAAUCCAAGAUAAACAGAAAACCUGGAAUCAAAUACUGGGAUAUAGGGCCUGUCUGGAAGGGCCCGAAGUUAACUCUUCCAGGUUCAAGAUGUUUUUAUUUAUCCAAGGCUUACCUACCUUGGGUGUUUCAUUUCACAUAGGCAUAUGGUUGCAUUUUAAAUAAAUAAAUGAAAUUUGCUGAAACAUGUUGAACUGUUAUUUUUUAUGAUGUAGGAACCUAUCGCUAUUCUUUACAUGUUAUUUCUGCCUCAGGAACCAAAUUUUCUGUUAAAGAAGCAAUGUGUAGGAGGGCAUCUAGUUUGUUUAACUGAGAUAUAUCUGUAAUUUAACCAAUUCUAUUUGUGUACCUCUGAAAAAAAAAGAAUGAAGGAAGGAACCUUUAAAAAAUAACUAUCAGUACAAUAUCGGGAAUCAAAUAUUUCUACCUGCCAAUUGUUUCCCAGAGACACUGGUUGCUCUCAUCCGUAGCCACAAAGACAAAGUGAAAUUUGGGCCAGCAAUGCAAAGCUAUCGAAUCGUAGUAGGUAUCUCUGCAGUCAAUGGCCAGGUCCUCCUCUUCAAAUAACUCUAGCAAGAAAAGGGAAAGUCAGUUAGAAGAAGGAAAUGAAGAUUGAUGGGGCAUCAGGUAACUGGGCAACUGGAUAUGCAUAUAUCAACUUUGGUUUACUUAGAAUGGCCCACCAUUUUGAGGCAAUGCCUCAUUGCUACAGUUCUUUUUCACAGAAAGACUGGGAUAUCCAGACACAAAACACUGAGCUGGCUAUAAUAUCCAUGUUGUUAAUAUUCUAAACCUAAACAUAGGCAAAUACUUAUAGUAACUGUGAUUGUUGUACCACAAUAGACUUGUUGUUGUAUAAGUUUAUCGUGGUACAACAAUCACAGUUACUAUAAGUAUUUGCCUAUGUUUAGAAUAUUAACAACAUGGAAAGGCCUUGAAGGGAAGCAGGACUAAGCAAGUAAUUAAGAUUAAGGGAGACAGCAACAUAUCCACAACAUACCGUAGUCAACUAUGAGAAGUUUCUGAGAAUCACAGUAAGUAGGCUGUAACCAUACAUCAAAAGA
rnacentral:lncRNA from 1 species